rnacentral:misc_RNA from 1 species
UUUCCGUAGGUGAACCUGCGGAGGGAUCAUUACAGAGUUCUCGCCCUCGCGGGUAGAUCUCCUACCCACUGUUAUCGUUACUGUGUUGCUUUGGCGGGCCGCCGGGCCCCGCUCGGCCGCCGGCUCCGGCUGGCGCGCGCCCGCCAGAGGCCCAGCAAACUCUGAAUGUUAGUGUCGUCUGAGUACUAUAUAAUAGUUAAAACUUUCAACAACGGAUCUCUUGGUUCUG